AUCCAAAUAGCAUGGUAGUGGCAUAUAAAUGGACUACAUUUUGAUGGAAAUGUAAUGCUCUGGAACCCUAGGCAUAUAUGAACCAGAAACAUGUAUGCAGACUCUACUUACAGACAGCAACAUAGUUGGAAAUAUAGUAAUCACAGUUGGAUAGGAACAAAUAUUUUAUAUCUCUUUCUUAGAGAUCUGGAUUCCACUAAAACGGAUUCAUGGAUGUCAGGGCAUUAGGGAUGUAGACUGAUAACAUACCUCUCCUUUUUCAGUGCCAAACCAACUUAGAAAUAAAAACAAAAGGUCAGAUCAAUAUCCAAAUACAUUAUUCCUCCUAAAGCUGAUUUAGAAACUAUGGCUUAAUGUUGACCAAAAAAGACUUCUAAUAUUGCCCCCUAGCCUUGACUUUAGAACCUGAACAAAAAAAAGUUCAUCUGAAGAACAGUCAGUUACCCACCCAGUGCAGGGAGGGUCUUCACCUGCCUUCCACUUCUCCUGUUCAGAAUCCAGAGGAGAAAGAGAGACUAGAUGUACUCAUUGAUCACUGAGUAAGUUUGCCUUACUAAUAGGCAAACGUGGACCAAUGGAUUUGAUGGGACCAAUGGAUAAGAUUUCCCAUCCACCAAAUAAGUCACAGUUCUCCUGGCUCUGGGAAUGAGCCAGAUAAAGGUGAAGAGUUGGCAGUGUUUCUACUCAAUAUUUGUGAGAAGACCGAAGGUGUUGUCAAUGGGUAGACAGAAAUGGAAUGAGGUGGGAAAGUUUUACUCGUUUGACCAACUUCUUUUC
rnacentral:lncRNA from 1 species